UCAAAGACAAUCAAAUAUUGUCCUAGUCUUAACCAUAAACGAUGCCAACUAGGGAUCAACGGAUGUUUCUCUAAGGAAUCCACCAUAACCUUCUAAGAAAUCAUAGUGUUUGGGUUCCG
rnacentral:ncRNA from 1 species